GACGAACGCUGGCGGCGCGCCUAAUACAUGCAAGUUGAGCGCUGAAGGUUGGUACUUGUACCAACUGGAUGAGCAGCGAACGGGUGAGUAACGCGUGGGGAAUCUGCCUUUGAGCGGGGGACAACAUUUGGAAACGAAUGCUAAUACCGCAUAAAAACUUUAAACACAAGUUUUAAGUUUGAAAGAUGCAAUUGCAUCACUCAAAGAUGAUCCCGCGUUGUAUUAGCUAGUUGGUGAGGUAAAGGCUCACCAAGGCGAUGAUACAUAGCCGACCUGAGAGGGUGAUCGGCCACAUUGGGACUGAGACACGGCCCAAACUCCUACGGGAGGCAGCAGUAGGGAAUCUUCGGCAAUGGACGAAAGUCUGACCGAGCAACGCCGCGUGAGUGAAGAAGGUUUUCGGAUCGUAAAACUCUGUUGGUAGAGAAGAACGUUGGUGAGAGUGGAAAGCUCAUCAAGUGACGGUAACUACACAGAAAGGGACGGCUAACUACGUG
rnacentral:rRNA from 1 species